rnacentral:rRNA from 1 species
AUGGGGGCUACGGCAUUUGACGAGCAGAAGGACGCGGCGACGUCGGCCGAUGACGAAGCUUUUACGAGGCCCAGCGGCUUCGCCUCCUUCGCCGACAAGCUCCGAGGCGACCUGGACAAGAUCGCGGCGGACGCGAUCGACAAGGACGUCCUGCAUGCCCUCGCGGAGCUCAGCGAGGCCGUCGGCAAGAUGGCAACAACGGUGGCCGGGGCCGGCGAGCACGUCUUGUACCACUUGAACUCUGUAGCCACGGGCGACCUCACCCUCGAGAUCGACGAGACCAUCGAGUUGAUCGGAGUGGCGGCCGCGGCAGGCGAAGCAGACUGGGUGAUGGAGACCACGCGGUUGCUCAUGGAGAGCAUCGAGGACAUCACCCGCCACCUCACGGAGGCCAUCGAGGAAGAGAAAGCAGCGACGGGCGUGGCCUGCGGCGAUGCUUCCUUGGAUGCUCAGGUUCAGCAGAAGAUGUACGAGGAGCAAGAGGAGGCCUUCAUGGACGAACUCGACUACCGCGACAUGGUCUUGGAUGUUGACAAGGCCUUGGAUGAUUUGCGUCUGGAAGCGGCCGGCUGCAGCGGCGGUGACCGUGCACCAACGACAGGGUUUCUUGGUCGAUAUGAUUUUUUCACACUGCAAGAUUUCUUGAAGUUGGUUGAUUGA